AUUUUAUUUUAUUUUACUCCACUACACCCACUACCCACUACACCUACUCCUACACAGCAAUACAUUCGUCCACUCCUCUCUGUCUGCCAUAUCUCAAUUAUUCUCGCAAGGAAGAAAUUCAAUGCACAUCUCUAUCUCCAGAAGUUCAACAACAUCAUAUUCACUAACCAUUCGUCUCUACACAGAACACUAUAAGGCUUUGUGACCAGGGGGAUUAGCGCUGCUUUCCCAAGACAGGUUUAUAUGUGAUUAUGAUCUUCAGGCUUUGCCUAUCCAGGUUGGCUGGCUGGUGCUGACGGGACGGAGCUGAGGCUAGAGAUAAAUUCCUAUGUUAGACUUCCGCUGUAGCAAUUACUUAUAUCAGUCUUUUGUUUUCCCAACUUAAGAUCUUCAUGUUAAAUUUCAAAUGAUAUAUCUGACCGAGCUUAGACUCUUCACUACUAAAUUUAUGCCAAUGAAUGUCGGUUGUCAGAAGCAUGAAACAAAA